UACGUAGGGCGCAAGCGUUAUCCGGAAUUACUGGGCGUAAAGAGCUCGUAGGCGGUUUGUCGCGUCUGCCGUGAAAGUCCGGGGCUCAACUCCGGAUUUGCGGUGGGUACGGGCAGACUAGAGUGAUGUAGGGGAGACUGGAAUUCCUGGUGUAGCGGUGAAAUGCGCAGAUAUCAGGAGGAACACCGAUGGCGAAGGCAGGUCUCUGGGCAUUAACUGACGCUGAGGAGCGAAAGCGUGGGGAGCGAACAGG
rnacentral:rRNA from 1 species